AUGAAGUUGGUGGCAAGAAUUACUGUGCUCCUAACUUUGGGUAUUAUGGGAGAUGCUAAGACUACACAGCCAAAUUCAAUGGAGACUACUGAAGGAGAAACCGUACACUUGCCUUGUAACCACUCCACAAUCAGUGGAAGUGAGUACAUAUUUUGGUAUCGACAGAUUCCCUCUCAGGGUCCAGAGUAUGUGGUUCAUGGUCUAAAAGGCAAUGUGACCGUUGAAAUGGCCUCCCUCAUCAUCUCUGCUGACAGAAAGUCCAGUAGCUUGAUCCUGCCCCAUGUUGCCCUGAGAGACACUGCUGUGUACUACUGCAUCGUGAGAGACCACGGUGGGACAGAUGGGGCUGCACCUGUGCAAUAUCUCCCUGGUGGGGAAGGGAAGCUGAAGCAACCAUCGAUAGAGGCCACUGCAUAA